rnacentral:rRNA from 1 species
AUUGAACGCUGGCGGCAGGCCUAACACAUGCAAGUCGAACGGUAACAGGAAGAAGCUUGCUUCUUUGCUGACGAGUGGCGGACGGGUGAGUAAUGUCUGGGAAACUGCCUGAUGGAGGGGGAUAACUACUGGAAACGGUAGCUAAUACCGCAUAACGUCGCAAGACCAAAGAGGGGGACCUUCGGGCCUCUUGCCAUCGGAUGUGCCCAGAUGGGAUUAGCUUGUUGGUGGGGUAACGGCUCACCAAGGCGACGAUCCCUAGCUGGUCUGAGAGGAUGACCAGCCACACUGGAACUGAGACACGGUCCAGACUCCUACGGGAGGCAGCAGUGGGGAAUAUUGCACAAUGGGCGCAAGCCUGAUGCAGCCAUGCCGCGUGUAUGAAGAAGGCCUUCGGGUUGUAAAGUACUUUCAGCGGGGAGGAAGGGAGUAAAGUUAAUACCUUUGCUCAUUGACGUUACCCGCAGAAGAAGCACCGGCUAACUCCGUGCCAGCAGCCGCGGUAAUACGGAGGGUGCAAGCGUUAAUCGGAAUUACUGGGCGUAAAGCGCACGCAGGCGGUUUGUUAAGUCAGAUGUGAAAUCCCCGGGCUCAACCUGGGAACUGCAUCUGAUGCUGGCAAGCUUGAGUCUCGUAGAGGGGGGUAGAAUUCCAGGUGUAGCGGUGAAAUGCGUAGAGAUCUGGAGGAAUACCGGUGGCGAAGGCGGCCCCCUGGACGAAGACUGACGCUCAGGUGCGAAAGCGUGGGGAGCAAACAGGAUUAGAUACCCUGGUAGUCCACGCCGUAAACGAUGUCGACUUGGAGGUUGUGCCCUUGAGGCGUGGCUUCCGGAGCUAACGCGUUAAGUCGACCGCCUGGGGAGUACGGCCGCAAGGUUAAAACUCAAAUGAAUUGACGGGGGCCCGCACAAGCGGUGGAGCAUGUGGUUUAAUUCGAUGCAACGCGAAGAACCUUACCUGGUCUUGACAUCCACGGAAGUUUUCAGAGAUGAGAAUGUGCCUUCGGGAACCGUGAGACAGGUGCUGCAUGGCUGUCGUCAGCUCGUGUUGUGAAAUGUUGGGUUAAGUCCCGCAACGAGCGCAACCCUUAUCCUUUGUUGCCAGCGGUCCGGCCGGGAACUCAAAGGAGACUGCCAGUGAUAAACUGGAGGAAGGUGGGGAUGACGUCAAGUCAUCAUGGCCCUUACGACCAGGGCUACACACGUGCUACAAUGGCGCAUACAAAGAGAAGCGACCUCGCGAGAGCAAGCGGACCUCAUAAAGUGCGUCGUAGUCCGGAUUGGAGUCUGCAACUCGACUCCAUGAAGUCGGAAUCGCUAGUAAUCGUGGAUCAGAAUGCCACGGUGAAUACGUUCCCGGGCCUUGUACACACCGCCCGUCACACCAUGGGAGUGGGUUGCAAAAGAAGUAGGUAGCUUAACCUUCGGGAGGGCGCUUACCACUUUGUGAUUCAUGACUGGGGUGAAGUCGU